rnacentral:rRNA from 1 species
UACGGGGGGGGUAAGCGUUGUUCGGAAUUACUGGGCGUAAAGGGCUCGUAGGCGGCCAACUAAGUCGGACGUGAAAUCCCUCGGCUUAACCGGGGAACUGCAUCCGAUACUGGAUGGCUUGAGUUUGGGAGAGGGAUGCGGAAUUCCAGGUGUAGCGGUGAAAUGCGUAGAUAUCUGGAGGAACACCGGUGGCGAAGGCGGCAUCCUGGACCAACACUGACGCUGAGUGAGCGAAAGCCAGGGGAGCAAACAGG